rnacentral:rRNA from 1 species
GGGCCCGCACAAGCAGCGGAGCAUGUGGUUUAAUUCGAAGCAACGCGAAGAACCUUACCUAGACUUGACAUCCCCUGCAUAACCCAGAGAUGGGCGAAGUCCUUGGGGACAGGGUGACAGGUGGUGCAUGGUUGUCGUCAGCUCGUGUCGUGAGAUGUUGGGUUAAGUCCCGCAACGAGCGCAACCCUUAUCAUUAGUUGCUACCAUUAAGUUGAGCACUCUAGUGAGACUGCCCGGGUUAACCGGGAGGAAGGUGGGGAUGACGUCAAAUCAUCAUGCCCCUUAUGUCUAGGGCUACACACGUGCUACAAUGGUGAGUACAAAGAGAUGCAAGACCGCAAGGUGGAGCCAAACUCAAAAACUCAUCCCAGUUCGGAUUGUAGGCUGCAACUCGCCUACAUGAAGCCGGAGUUGCUAGUAAUCGCGAAUCAGCAUGUCGCGGUGAAUACGUUCCCGGGCCUUGUACACACCGCCCGUCACACCAUGAGAGCUGGUAACACCCGAAGUCCGUGAGGUAACCGUAAGGAGCCAGCGGCCGAAGGUGGGAUUAGUGAUUGGGGUG